rnacentral:rRNA from 1 species
UGGGGAAUAUUGCGCAAUGGGCGGAAGCCUGACGCAGCGACGCCGCGUGGGGGAUGACGGCCUUCGGGUUGUAAACCUCUUUCGACCUCGACGAAGAGUGAUUGACGGUAGGGGUGGAAGAAGCACCGGCCAACUACGUGCCAGCAGCCGCGGUAAUACGUAGGGUGCGAGCGUUGUCCGGAAUUAUUGGGCGUAAAGAGCUCGUAGGCGGUGUGUCACGUCGGCCGUGAAAACCUGCAGCUUAACUGUGGGCGUGCGGUCGAUACGGGCAUCACUGGAGUUCGGCAGGGGAGACUGGAAUUCCUGGUGUAGCGGUGAAAUGCGCAGAUAUCAGGAGGAACACCGGUGGCGAAGGCGGGUCUCUGGGCCGAUACUGACGCUGAGGAGCGAAAGCGUGGGGAGCAAACA